GGCUGUAAACCAAGUGGACAGAAGUUGACACCAUUGAUCACCAAGGUUGAUUCAGCUGAUCUGGAUACCUAGGCAGCUGCCCCAUUCCUCCUUUACUGCUCCACAUGCCUGCCUCCUGAAACUGCAUGCUCAGUGGAAAAGGACAGACAUUCCAGAUAGGAGUGUACAGUUAUUUAAUCAAGAGUAUACAACAGUUGCACUCCCCUGCUAGAAGUUCCAGUCAAGCUCCAGGUUCAUUUGUAGGAGCUCUAAUAAGGUGUUCAAGGUAUAUGAGAUAUUUAGGGAUGAUUUUACUAUUACUUCCU
rnacentral:snRNA from 1 species